UAGGGAAUCUUCCACAAUGGACGAAAGUCUGAUGGAGCAACGCCGCGUGAGUGAUGAAGGGUUUCGGCUCGUAAAACUCUGUUGUUGGAGAAGAACGGGUGUCAGAGUAACUGUUGACAUCGUGACGGUAUCCAACCAGAAAGCCACGGCUAACUACGUGCCAGCAGCCGCGGUAAUACGUAGGUGGCAAGCGUUGUCCGGAUUUAUUGGGCGUAAAGCGAGCGCAGGCGGUUUUUUAGGUCUGAUGUGAAAGCCUUCGGCUUAACCGGAGAAGUGCAUCGGAAACCGGGAGACUUGAGUGCAGAAGAGGACAGUGGAACUCCAUGUGUAGCGGUGAAAUGCGUAGAUAUAUGGAAGAACACCAGUGGCGAAGGCGGCUGUCUGGUCUGCAACUGACGCUGAGGCUCGAAAGCAUGGGUAGCGAACAGGAUUAGAUACCCUGGUAGUCCAUGCCGUAAACGAUGAGUGCUAAGUGUUGGAGGGUUUUCCGCCCUUCAGUGCUGCAGCUAACGCAUUAAGCACUCCGCCU
rnacentral:rRNA from 1 species